AAAUGAAAGGGAAAUUAGGGUUUCGAGUUCCCUCUAUAAAUGUCAAACCCAGAGUAGACGCCGGCUCUCAUUGUUAUUUGAUGUGGUCUUAGCUCAGAGAAGGCUGCAUCUUUUUUCUGUUAGUCAUUCUUCUUGUUGGAUUUCUAUCUUCUUCUUUAAAGUUUUAUGGUUUAUGUUGAUGGCAUAAUAUUGGGCAAUGAUGAGAAAUUAGAGAAAGUCAUGCACCACGCUGAUUCUAAUUUGUGCUGAUAAUUUCUCCAUACCCAUAUUUUUCUGAGCUCGUUUUCCAUUUUCUCUCUUAUUAGCUUCUUUUUUUAUUUUAAAAAAGAAAAUUUUUAUUACUUUUCCAGUAUUUGAUUCAUAUUUUAAAACCCUUUUUUCCCCUUGAGUUUUCAAUUGAAAACCUUCAAAAACAGAAAAAAAAGGAACCAGGUGAUGUGAUCUUCUUUAACGAGAAGAUUGAACCAUGAUGCGGACCGUAAAGCUUUCUGCUUCUGGGGAUAACUUUUGGUUUCUGAUGGUUCCUCCCUUAUAGAUAUUUUUUUUCUUAAUUGAAAUAUGGGUUGAUUUAAUUCUUGCUGUUUUCGGAUGAUUCUACCAAGCGUAUCAGAUAGCUGUUGGUUGACUAGAAAUCCCACUCAAAAGAAAUAAAUAUUGGUUUCUGUUGGUUGCUCUUGUCCUCUCUAUGUACCUCGUCUUUGAGCAUUUAGCCGCUUUUAAUCAACCAGAGUAGCGUUGCAGUGCUACUUCUCUAGCGCCACAGGUUUGAACUCUCAAGAAAAUUGUAUGGUGAGCUUUCUUUCACCAGAGUUGCAGCCUUGUUCUCCUAUUGCUAUGGUCGUCUAUCAACUUUGAAUGUAAUUUUACCUUGAUCUGGUCCGAAUUGGGAAAAGUGAAAAACAUAAAAGUUGUAGCCCUAUCUCUUAACUUUCAAUGGAUUAAGAAUUACGU